rnacentral:lncRNA from 1 species
GCUUGAGCCAACGCAGCCGCAGCUCGUGGACUUUUCCUUCCUCUCGUCAACACCUCCCCCCCCCCCCGCCGCCCGCCUCCUCUCCCUCCGACCCUGCCCGCCUCUCGCCGUUGAAUUCCUCCGCUCUCCUCUCCUCCCCGUUGAGCCGUUCGCCUACGAAGCCUGGUCCUCCUCGGAGCCCGGUGAUCGAUCCGUCGAUGGACGCGUCCGACCGGGCGUCGCCGCGGAGCCGGCAGCUGCAG